AGAGUUUGAUCCUGGCUCAGAACGAACGCUGGCGGCGUGCCUAACACAUGCAAGUCGAACGGAAUGAGGGGCUUGCUCCUCAUUUAGUGGCGCACGGGUGAGUAACGCGUAGAUAAUCUGCCUGAUGAUCUGGAAUAACAUCUCGAAAGGGGUGCUAAUACCGGAUAAGCCCACGAUGACCUUGGUCGUUGCGGGAAAAGGAGGGGACCUUUUGGCCUUCUGUCAUCAGAUGAGUCUGCGUACCAUUAGCUAGUUGGUAGGGUAAUGGCCUACCAAGGCUACGAUGGUUAGCUGGUCUGAGAGGAUGAUCAGCCACACC
rnacentral:rRNA from 1 species